AUUGAACGCUGGCGGCAGGCCUAACACAUGCAAGUCGAACGGUAGCACAGAGAGCUUGCUCUCGGGUGACGAGUGGCGGACGGGUGAGUAAUGUCUGGGAAACUGCCCGAUGGAGGGGGAUAACUACUGGAAACGGUAGCUAAUACCGCAUAAUGUCGCAAGACCAAAGAGGGGGACCUUCGGGCCUCUUGCCAUCGGAUGUGCCCAGAUGGGAUUAGCUUGUAGGUGAGGUAACGGCUCACCUAGGCGACGAUCCCUAGCUGGUCUGAGAGGAUGACCAGCCACACUGGAACUGAGACACGGUCCAGACUCCUACGGGAGGCAGCAGUGGGGAAUAUUGCACAAUGGGCGCAAGCCUGAUGCAGCCAUGCCGCGUGUAUGAAGAAGGCCUUCGGGUUGUAAAGUACUUUCAGCGGGGAGGAAGGGAGUGAGGUUAAUAACCUUAUUCAUUGACGUUACCCGCAGAAGAAGCACCGGCUAACUCCGUGCCAGCAGCCGCGGUAAUACAGAGGGUGCAAGCGUUAUUCGGAAUUACUGGGCGUAAGCGCACGCAGGCGGUCUGUCAGUCGGAUGUGAAAUCCCCGGGCUCAACCUGGGAACUGCAUUCGAAACUGGCAGGCUGGAGUCUUGUAGAGGGGGGUAGAAUUCCAGGUGUAGCGGUGAAAUGCGUAGAGAUCUGGAGGAAUACCGGUGGCGAAGGCGGCCCCCUGGACAAAGACUGACGCUCAGGUGCGAAAGCGUGGGGAGCAAACAGGAUUAGAUACCCUGGUAGUCCACGCUGUAAACGAUGUCGACUUGGAGGUUGUUCCCUUGAGGAGUGGCUUCCGGAGCUAACGCGUUAAGUCGACCGCCUGGGGAGUACGGCCGCAAGGUUAAAACUCAAAUGAAUUGACGGGGGCCCGCACAAGCGGUGGAGCAUGUGGUUUAAUUCGAUGCAACGCGAAGAACCUUACCUACUCUUGACAUCCAGAGAACUUAGCAGAGAUGCUUUGGUGCCUUCGGGAACUCUGAGACAGGUGCUGCAUGGCUGUCGUCAGCUCGUGUUGUGAAAUGUUGGGUUAAGUCCCGCAACGAGCGCAACCCUUAUCCUUUGUUGCCAGCGGUCCGGCCGGGAACUCAAAGGAGACUGCCAGUGAUAAACUGGAGGAAGGUGGGGAUGACGUCAAGUCAUCAUGGCCCUUACGAGUAGGGCUACACACGUGCUACAAUGGCAUAUACAAAGAGAAGCGACCUCGCGAGAGCAAGCGGACCUCAUAAAGUAUGUCGUAGUCCGGAUUGGAGUCUGCAACUCGACUCCAUGAAGUCGGAAUCGCUAGUAAUCGUGGAUCAGAAUGCCACGGUGAAUACGUUCCCGGGCCU
rnacentral:rRNA from 1 species